rnacentral:rRNA from 1 species
UACGUAGGGUGCAAGCGUUGUCCGGAAUUAUUGGGCGUAAAGAGCUCGUAGGCGGUUUGUCGCGUCUGCUGUGAAAUCCCGAGGCUCAACCUCGGGCCUGCAGUGGGUACGGGCAGACUAGAGUGGCGGUAGGGGAGAUUGGAAUUCCUGGUGUAGCGGUGAAAUGCGCAGAUAUCAGGAGGAACACCGGUGGCGAAGGCGGGUCUCUGGGCCGAUACUGACGCUGAGGAGCGAAAGCGUGGGGAGCGAACAGG